rnacentral:rRNA from 1 species
GAUGAACGCUGGCGGCGUGCCUAAUACAUGCAAGUCGAUCGAACAGACGAGGAGCUUGCUCCUCUGACGUUAGCGUCGGACGGGUGAGUAACACGUGGAUAACCUACCUAUAAGACUGGGAUAACUUCGGGAAACCGGAGCUAAUACCGGAUAAUAUAUUGAACCGCAUGGUUCAAUAGUGAAAGACGGUUUUGCUGUCACUUAUAGAUGUAUCCGCGCCGCAUUAGCUAGUUGGUAAGGUAACGGCUUACCAAGGCAACGAUGCGUAGCCGACCUGAGAGGGUGAUCGGCCACACUGGAACUGAGACACGGUCCAGACUCCUACGGGAGGCAGCAGUAGGGAAUCUUCCGCCAUGGGCGAAAGCCUGACGGAGCAACGCCGCGUGAGUGAUGAAGGUCUUCGGAUCGUAAAACUCUGUUAUUAGGGAAGAACAAAUGUGUAAGUAACUAUGCACGUCUUGACGGUACCUAAUCAGAAAGCCACGGCUAACUACGUG